rnacentral:lncRNA from 1 species
GGGACAAACGUCAACUCUUUCAUUGUCUUAGCACAAGCGCUAAGGAGUGCCUCUGUCAAAAAUCAAUAAUUUUCGUGAUAAAACUGAUUUGUGAUGAGUAUUUCUGCGGUGUAAUAGCAAGGAUGGCGGCGAAAGCUGUCGAUCUUGCCAGAAACGGUUACCCAAUCCGUAGGGCAGCGGCUCAAUGUAAUGUUCCAGUAAGUGCAGUUCGUAUGAAGCUGGAGGCAAAGCGUGCAUAGAAAAAACCCGGAAGGCCGACUGUAUUGACUAAGGGGAGACUUUUAUUGUAAACUGGAUCAUUGAUAGCGCGAAGGUUGGCUUCCCGGUUGAUUCGACGAAGCUGCCCUUGAAGAUGAGCGCACUAGAACUGCAGACAACCUAAUUUUUGCAACACUAUUGGACAGCAUUGUGAAUGAAAAUUCUCUUGAUGAAAACUCGCUUGAACUUUCGUUAGAGCCUACUAGUUCUGCAAGCUUGUCAAAGUCAUCACGUCCGGCUGAAGACAUGAACAGCCGAGAGGAUUUUCUUGAGAAAGUAUUCACCAUACCAACGGUUUCAAGAAAAUCACCAAAGCGUGCGAAGCCGAAUCGUCCACGACCACCUACCUAGUACAAAGAGAUGGAACAAAAUAAGGAAAACGAAGAACAGAAACGCCAAGAAAAGAAAACUGCCAGAGAAACAAAAAGGAAGAAGAAAACUACUAAUGUAAAGCAACGUCCGAAAACUAAGACACAAAAGCCACGUUUGUGAACUGUGAACCUGAUUGUAAUAUUGUAAAUAUCAAGUCAAAUAAAGAACGUAAAGC